CUGGCUCAGGACGAACGCUGGCGGCGUGCUUAACACAUGCAAGUCGAACGAUGAAGCCUUUCGGGGUGGAUUAGUGGCGAACGGGUGAGUAACACGUGGGCAAUCUGCCCUUCACUCUGGGACAAGCCCUGGAAACGGGGUCUAAUACCGGAUAACACUCUGUCCCGCAUGGGACGGGGUUAAAAGCUCCGGCGGUGAAGGAUGAGCCCGCGGCCUAUCAGCUUGUUGGUGGGGUGAUGGCCUACCAAGGCGACGACGGGUAGCCGGCCUGAGAGGGCGACCGGCCACACUGGGACUGAGACACGGCCCAGACUCCUACGGGAGGCAGCAGUGGGGAAUAUUGCACAAUGGGCGAAAGCCUGAUGCAGCGACGCCGCGUGAGGGAUGACGGCCUUCGGGUUGUAAACCUCUUUCAGCAGGGAAGAAGCGAAA
rnacentral:rRNA from 1 species